UGGGGAAUUUUGGACAAUGGGGGCAACCCUGAUCCAGCCAUGCCGCGUGCAGGAUGAAGGCCUUCGGGUUGUAAACUGCUUUUGUACGGAACGAAAAGACUCUGGUUAAUACCUGGGGUCCAUGACGGUACCGUAAGAAUAAGCACCGGCUAACUACGUGCCAGCAGCCGCGGUAAUACGUAGGGUGCAAGCGUUAAUCGGAAUUACUGGGCGUAAAGCGUGCGCAGGCGGUGAUGUAAGACAGAGGUGAAAUCCCCGGGCUCAACCUGGGAACUGCCUUUGUGACUGCAUCGCUGGAGUGCGGCAGAGGGGGAUGGAAUUCCGCGUGUAGCAGUGAAAUGCGUAGAUAUGCGGAGGAACACCGAUGGCGAAGGCAAUCCCCUGGGCCUGCACUGACGCUCAUGCACGAAAGCGUGGGGAGCAAACA
rnacentral:rRNA from 1 species